ACAGCAGUCGCACGGUAAUACGUAGGGUGCAAGCGUUAAUCGGAAUUACUGGGCGUAAAGCGUGCGCAGGCGGUUAUAUAAGACAGAUGUGAAAUCCCCGGGCUCAACCUGGGAACUGCAUUUGUGACUGUAUAGCUAGAGUACGGCAGAGGGGGAUGGAAUUCCGCGUGUAGCAGUGAAAUGCGUAGAUAUGCGGAGGAACACCGAUGGCGAAGGCAAUCCCCUGGGCCUGUACUGACGCUCAUGCACGAAAGCGUGGGGAGCAAACAGGAUUAGAUACCCCAGUAGUCCCUGUCUCUUAUACA
rnacentral:rRNA from 1 species